AUUGAACGCUGGCGGAAUGCUUUACACAUGCAAGUCGAGCGGCAGCGCGGGGGCAACCCUGGCGGCGAGCGGCGAACGGGUGAGUAACAUAUCGGAGCGUACCCAGUCGUGGGGGAUAACUAUCCGAAAGGAUAGCUAAUACCGCAUACGUCCUGAGGGAGAAAGCGGGGGAUCGCAAGACCUCGCGCGAUUGGAGCGGCCGAUAUCGGAUUAGCUAGUUGGUGGGGUAAAGGCUCACCAAGGCGACGAUCCGUAGCGGGUCUGAGAGGACGACCCGCCACACUGGAACUGAGACACGGUCCAGACUCCUACGGGAGGCAGCAGUGGGGAAUUUUGGACAAUGGGGGCAACCCUGAUCCAGCCAUUCCGCGUGAGUGAAGAAGGCCUCGGUUGU
rnacentral:rRNA from 1 species